CGUGUCUGCCCACUUGGGCGUUUCCUCCCUCACUAGCCCAGCGAUCCCGGAUCGCUGGGCCUUUUCAUUGGUUUC
rnacentral:sRNA from 1 species